UACGUAGGGGGCAAGCGUUGUCCGGAUUUACUGGGCGUAAAGCGCACGCAGGCGGUCUCUUAAGUUUGGCGUGACAGUUGGUGGCUUAACUGCCAAAGUGCUUCGAAAACUGAGAGACUUGAGGGCUUCAGAGGGACACGGAAUUCCGGGUGGAGUGGUGAAAUGCGUAGAGAUCCGGAGGAACACCAAAGGCGAAGGCAGUGUCCUGGGGAGUACCUGACGCUCAGGUGCGAAAGCCAGGGGAGCGAACGGG
rnacentral:rRNA from 1 species